UCUUAGGACUAAAUCAGUUUCAGUAUAGUAGUGUACCCUGGCUAUGCAGGUUAGUAUUGUGAUGGGCAGUUUCCUAACAGCUCCGCAUAUACUAAAUGUUUUGGUGCUUGGACAUUUUGGAGCAUGUAUUUGGAGUUUAUACUUCUAGGUGUAUGCUGAGUUAAUGCUGAGGCAUUAUAACUACUGAAAGCUUCCCAGCUUUUCUAUACAGGAGUCUGUAGGAGAACACUGAGCUCUGUGUGUGAACCUGUAGCAGGAAGGGUGUUUGAGGUCCAGGUGCCAUCCCUGAAUGGCUGUUGUAAGUUCAAAUGCAAGGCCAGAGCCACAUCAGGUAACUCAUAGUAGUUUUUUUCUGAGUGCUGUAGUCCCUACUUUUCCCCUGUUGAAAGCAGCAUACCAGAAGAUGCUGUGGCCUUGCUUCAUCAUUCAAGUGAUCCUUGAAUGUAGUAAAGUGUCAUAAGUGUCAUUGACUACUCGGAGUGCUUCUUCCUUACAGCUCACUGUGGCAAAAGCAGAUGUGGCUCUGAUGGUAAUAGGGUGGUGAGUUGUACCCCUCUCUCCUGCCCUCACCGUAUUUAAUUAUAGUGUCACAUAGUUGACUCUUUCACAAGAUGAGCCACAUGAUGACAUUUGUUUUCAAAGGAAAGAGUGGAAAAAUGGCAGCUGUAUAUGACUUUAGCUACUGUACACUGUGUUACAGGUCUUUUGUAAUUCUUAAAAUAACCAAAGAGGAGAGGUAGCUGUAGCAAUGCCAAGAAUUACAUACCCUUGGUUUUCUCACCUGUGUGAAAUCUAGUGGUAUAACUCAUAGGCUGUGGCUCACCCACAGAUCCACAUCCUUGGUGCAGACACAGGCACAAAAGUUUUGAAGUUUUUCUUCAAAAAGAAAGAUUACAGAAUGUUUAUGAAGUUGUAGGUUGCUGAAUUGUUCAAUUAGUGUAUUGGCCAUGUUGAAUACACCUUUGUAAAUGGAAUAGAUGAAGGCAGGGCUUCUUCACUGCUGUGUCAGCCAGUCAUGUACAAAUGCUAUUUAUAAAAGGAUUCAGUAAAAUCACAUGAUGUGAUCUUGAGUACAACCUGGCCUGUUGUGCUGACUGAAAUGUCAUCUAUUUCAUGAACCUUCCAGAUGGGAGAAUUAUUGCACUGAUGCCAGGGAGGGGGAAAAGACUCCACAGCAGUCUGUUCUCUUCGCUGUGACCUGAUACAGUGUGCAUGUGCCCAGUUUAGCCAAUCUGUACAUGCACAGUUGGAAAAACCACUGUAAAUUUAGGUUUCACUGCACCUGUACAGAUCAAUUAAGCAGCACUUGAAAUGCCAAAUGAACUAGCAGGGGAAAAAAUGAGUUUGCUGCUAAUGGCUACACAGUUUAUGCAUCUAGAUAUACAGGAAGAGGACAGUCAGCAGAGGAUGUCACUGUAGCAUCACAUUAUGAGAACCUCUCCCAGCUGCCCCCAAAGUACAGUUGCUGUAAUGUUGCUUCUAAUUACUCUCUAUUACUACAGUGUAAGGGUUAAUAGCCAUCUCUAUAUAUUCUCAUGGACUGUAUACUUGACCCUCCACUUAGAUGACCUUCUGGAACUGUUAUCUUUCUUCUUUCCUUUCAGCUGACCAAAUUGCAGAGAUGGAAUUCUAUUCUAUUCAUUGGGAAUAAAAAGAUCCCAAGUACUUAUUGCUUUCUGCUUUUCUCUGUCUGUGAUGUAACUGGUCCUUUUUGAACUGCCAGUUAUCCAUUUAUCUUCCUGCUUUUUAACACAAGCAAUUAUAUAGUGCAUAUGUUUUAAUUCAAAAAAAUCGAACACCUUGCAAAGAAUAAUGCAGAAUAUGCCUAAACAGUGGAAAAUAUCUAUCAGGUGGUUUCUUUGACAUAGAUAGUGUUAAGUUUUUAGGUCAAAAUUGUUGACCUAAAAUUUAGUUCUGAUACAUUUGCAUAGAAAGUAGAAGACAGAUGAUUACAAUGAGAUGAUUAGUACCGGUUUUGUGGGGCAGAUAGUGGAAUAUCAUACCUAGUUCUGGGAUCAGUAUUUUGAAAAAUAAAUUGCUUGGCAGUAUACUCAAUAGUAUAGUGUAUCUUGACAAGGAGAAAAUAAUAGGACUAAAGCAGAGAAAGCAGUAAGAAGCUGUAGGCUCCGGAAGCUAGAUAGAAAGUGAAACUGGAAAUUAAACUCAAAUUUUAACUAUGAAAAUGAUUUAUCAUUAGAAUGAAUAAGGAAAGAAAGUGACAGAUAAACUUUUUUAAUGAUUUCAAAUUUAGACAGAGAGUUUACUCACAAGCUUUUUGGACUCAGUGCAGUGGUAAUUUCUUUGUUUCCCAAGGUCAGAGUGAAAGAUAAUUGCCUUUAGCUUAUUUGUUAUGUUCUUAAUGCGAUCCAAAAAAGACAGGCAGGUUUUGUUAUCUGUGACAGCACACACAAAUUCAAAGAUGUAAAAAUAUUCAUCUUUCUUUCUCCCUUAAAAAAAUGUAUCCUUUUUUUUUAUACCUCAUAAGGAAGGCAUCAUCUGUCCAGGAAGAAAGUGAGUUGGCAUAAAUCCUUUGUUCCUUCCCUUCCUUCCCUUUGUUGUGAAGUCCUCUGCUGGACUCCGUAGGCUGUUCCACACAGAGCAGGAGCCUGUCAAGAGGGAAUUUUCCAAGCCUCUGUUGAAGAUGAUAACAGCUUUUCAUCCUCAACCUGCAACAACAGAUAAAAUGUUAAAGUGAGCGAAGACACUUUUUGUUGCUGACUGAGGCCAAUACCCAUUUUUGCAUUCUAUCACUAAAAUGUUUCUGUUUCCCUCAUCUCAUACAUUCCUGAACCAUGCACACCUCUGAGGCUUACUGCUUUGAUCAGGCAUCCCAAUGCCACUUGUUCAAACAGUCCAUCUUCAUGGCAUAUUGACUUUCAUCCAGAGCACAGUCCAUUAUAAGCUGCAUAUCUCUUCCUGACUACAUUCACACACCAGUAAUGUCCUAAGUAUGUUUUCUCUAUUCUGCAUCUUCCAGUCUCACCUGUUUGCUAAUCUUCAAAGAUGCUGAAAUGAUGUUUUAAGUGGACCGUGUGCUCCCAUAACUUCUCUCCUGAAGCAGACACUGUUGGGGAGGAAAUUCUUUGGUUCAAAGCAGAACACUGAAAAAAAAUAACCAAAGAAGAAAGAAAAACAGACUGGUAAAUACGAUGGAGUGAAAUUUGGGAAGAAAUGUUCAGACUGUAAUAGAAAGUAGGACAAGAUAGUUGGAAAUGCAAAUGUCACUGGAUCUGAGAUCGAUACUGUGUUAGGGACUGAACUGACAACAAUAAAAAUGAAAGCAUCUCAUUCAAGGUUGGUGCCUUGGAACUGGGGUGAAAGGACUCAUAGCCUUGUAGCACCUGACUUGAGGAGAAAUAAUGAAGGUGGAAGAAGGGAGUCAAGUGUCUAUGCUUUGAAACAUUGAAGAUGGGCAAUGAAUCGCCAUUAAACCAAAACCAAAACUGAAACUGAUUGCAUAGGAAGAUUGAAACAAGAAACCAGCGUAUUGUGUUCCGGGAAAGUUAGAGGAGGGAUAGGAACUACAGGGAAAGAUUUGACCUGACUUGGAAUGUGAAGAAUUUAAAUAGUCUGACAGAUAUAUGGACAUGAGAAGCCAGGGAGGAGGUUAGACGGAAAGAAAACAAAAAGGAAAACCAAUGAAUGCCAGGAUUGGUUAAAGGAUAGAAGGGCUAGCUAAGGACAGAGGUAAACCAUCUGGAAUUUAAAGAGAGGUGGUUGGGAGAUAUGACCUACAACACCAGAAAUAAGUGGAAUAAUGAAUAUUGAUAUAAUGAGUAUGAGCAGAAAAACCAAGAACAGCAAACACACUUGUGGGAUGACUCCACUCCCUUCUUUCAGUGCUGUGUGACCAAACAGCAGAUGUCUAGGAAAACCAAAUAGAAAGUAGGUGCAAUUAUGUUCUGUGCAGAAGCAGUGAUAAGGAGUGUAAUAGAACACGAAAUAUGGUUUCAUGAUGAAGAUGGGGAAACCUGCCUGGAAAAUUGUAUUUAGAUGGUGAUUUUAAUGGCAUUUUAUGUGUUGGUCUUUUCCUUUAAAUCAUCAAUCUCAGAAACUAUUACUAAAUGGGUAGUUGUCUUUUUUUUUUUUUUUUUUGCAUUUGACUGCUCUCAAGACCAAAAUAACAAUUAAUAAAAAUUGGUUUUAACAUGUUUGUAAUGCUCUGACACUUAACAUGCACCACCACCACUGCCAAAAACCAUCAGAUGAUUCAAUGAAGAUUUACAAAUACUUUUGAUCUUAAUCUCAAAGCAUCUCAGUUUUCCCCUUUCUAAACCAGAGAUGAUAUCAGAAAGUCACUUCACCAAACCUUGGUCCAGAUAAAGUGACAUUCAUGAUGUUAUGGAGCUGAUGAGCGAAAUGAGUACUUACAGAAUUUAAUAAGAUAGGCUUCAGAGUAGUUUGAAGUUGUAGCAAUGUGCAGUGAAGAAGGCAUGGUGUCAAAUACUGAGCAAUGUGAAGAAAAUGGAAGGUUUUGUCCCUGUUCUGUAAGUGAAUAUAGCUAUCUUACUCUCUGGGAGAGAGAGGACUCCUCUGCUGCAAGGAGGAUUUUAUUACUCAAUCUAGCAGUAAAGAAAAAAAAAGGGUCCUAAUUACUUGUGUCUGUUGAUCUGGUUUAGCUGACAGCCUUACUGCUGGCAUCUCUGAAUUUCUAAAUGUUUGACUGUCAUUUCAUUGUUCUUAAUUAUUCAGUGACACAUAACAAAAAACCUGAAAGUUCUUUUAUGGAAAAAAAUAUACCCAUCACCUUAUAAA